rnacentral:rRNA from 1 species
GAUGAACGCUGGCGGCGUGCCUAAUACAUGCAAGUCGAGCGAACAGACGAGGAGCUUGCUCCUCUGACGUUAGCGGCGGACGGGUGAGUAACACGUGGAUAACCUACCUAUAAGACUGGGAUAACUUCGGGAAACCGGAGCUAAUACCGGAUAAUAUAUUGAACCGCAUGGUUCAAUAGUGAAAGACGGUUUUGCUGUCACUUAUAGAUGGAUCCGCGCCGCAUUAGCUAGUUGGUAAGGUAACGGCUUACCAAGGCAACGAUGCGUAGCCGACCUGAGAGGGUGAUCGGCCACACUGGAACUGAGACACGGUCCAGACUCCUACGGGAGGCAGCAGUAGGGAAUCUUCCGCAAUGGGCGAAAGCCUGACGGAGCAACGCCGCGUGAGUGAUGAAGGUCUUCGGAUCGUAAAACUCUGUUAUUAGGGAAGAACAAAUGUGUAAGUAACUAUGCACGUCUUGACGGUACCUAACCAGAAAGCCACGGCUAACUAC